CGCGGUUUUAUCCCUAAAUUUCCCCCCUCUGAAACCCCUAAAUUUUCACUUAAAACAUUUUUCGUUAGACAGAAGUGAGGAGAGACUGUGUGUGGAAAUAUAGAGUCAGAGAGGCAUGGAGACUGCCAUACGUGGUAGAUUAUCUCUCUCACCAAACACCAUCUUUAAUCCUAAACCAGGGCGCUUGCGUGUUGAAAGCGGUCAAUUGUUCACUUUCAUGUCUGGCUGUUGAAAGCAUGAAGUAGAUGAAUCGAGAGAUUUAUCUUCAUACUGGUUUUCUUCCUAGUUCAUUCUCUAUGUAUGCUAUGAGCCUCUCAUCAGGGUUAUUUCUACUUGAGAAACCUGCAUGGGCUGUUGCUGUUGCAGCUGUGGGUGUAAUCCUAGGUUGGCCAUUUUCAAUCUUGGCAUUUCUUCCACUGACCUUCUACUCUUUAGAUAAACAAUUCAAACAAGCAUUUCUUUCUGGUGCUGUCACCUCAAUAGCUCUUCUUGCACUCUCCAUACUCGUUGAUCACUGCUACUACCAACGCUGGACAUCAUCUGUUUUUAAUCUCUUAGUAUAUAAUGUAUUAGGAGGUGGCGAGAGCCAUUUGUAUGGGACUGAGGGCCACUUUUUAUAUAAGGAAUGGGUUUAACAACUUCAACUUCUGUUUCAUCCUUGCUUUGCUUUUCCUGGGAAUUCUGCCAAAUUGCAAGAAAAAAGUAUGCCCCUGACUUGUUUAUUGUAAUCUCUCCUCUUUAUAUAUGGCUGGCAUUUAUGUCUCUGCAGCCGCACAAAGAAGAAAGAUUCCUUUAUCCCAUAUACCCUCUUGUUUGUGUUGCUGCUUCUGCUGUCAUUGAGAGUUUUACUAAUCUUUUCCGAGCAAAUAUAAUCCCUAUGAUAAUUCUAUUAUAGUUAUGAUGGCCAAAUUUCUUAGACCUGUGGCCCUGAGCCUCAUAUUAUGUGCCUCACAUUCACGUACAUUCUCAUUGAUCAAUGGCUAUGCUGCUCUAAUGGAGGUUUACAAGAUCUUGGAGCACCAUGAUGAUGCAGGAACUGUGCUUGAAAAUUAAGUGCAAGUUGAUGUGAAUGACAAUGUCCUGGAGAUCAUAUGGGAAGAUAAUAAUUAAAACAUGGAGGUUACAAGGAUGAUAAGGAGAAGGAAGAGUAGGACUUUAAGGGUAAAAAUGUGUCAAAUCUAGUGAGUCAGGUGACCGAGAUUCCGUUUAACAAUUUUCUUUAUUGCUGGAACAACUCUUAACCAAGAUCAAGAUCAAAGUACUUCACUAAGUUAUAUAUGCAAGCAUUGCAAUUAGAGGUGAUGAUGAUUUGGCAUUAUAUUCUCACCAGGAUGAAUUUUGUUUUAGAAAUUGUAAUACUUUGUGUGUCUCUCUGUGUGUGUGUUUUUUUAUGUAUUAAAUUACAUAUUGAAUCAAUGUUUAUGUAUUAAAUUUAAAUUCAUUAAUUUUUAUAUUUAGUUUUGAAGUUUAAAUUUUAAUGGAAAA